rnacentral:tRNA from 1 species
GAAGUUGUCAGCUCUGUGGUAAAGUGCAUGCUGUGUAUGCAUGAUGUCCUGGGUUCAAUCCCCAGCUUCUCCC